UACAUGCAAGUCGAGCGGACAGAAGGGAGCUUGCUCCCGGAUGUUAGCGGCGGACGGGUGAGUAACACGUGGGUAACCUGCCUGUAAGACUGGGAUAACUCCGGGAAACCGGAGCUAAUACCGGAUAGUUCCUUGAACCGCAUGGUUCAAGGAUGAAAGACGGUUUCGGCUGUCACUUACAGAUGGACCCGCGGCGCAUUAGCUAGUUGGUGAGGUAACGGCUCACCAAGGCGACGAUGCGUAGCCGACCUGAGAGGGUGAUCGGCCACACUGGGACUGAGACACGGCCCAGACUCCUACGGGAGGCAGCAGUAGGGAAUCUUCCGCAAUGGACGAAAGUCUGACGGAGCAACGCCGCGUGAGUGAUGAAGGUUUUCGGAUCGUAAAGCUCUGUUGUUAGGGAAGAACAAGUGCAAGAGUAACUGCUUGCACCUUGACGGUACCUAACCAGAAAGCCACGGCUAACUACGUGCCAGCAGCCGCGGUAAUACGUAGGUGGCAAGCGUUGUCCGGAAUUAUUGGGCGUAAAGGGCUCGCAGGCGGUUUCUUAAGUCUGAUGUGA
rnacentral:rRNA from 1 species